rnacentral:tRNA from 1 species
GGGCGCGUAGCUCAGCGGUAGAGCACUACCUUGACAUGGUAGGGGUCACUGGUUCGAUCCCAGUCGUGCCCACCA